GAGGGUAUAACUCAGUGGCAGAGCACAUGCUUAGCAUGCACGAGGUGUUGGGUUCAAUCCCCAGUACCUCCA
rnacentral:tRNA from 1 species